AACGAACGCUGGCGGCAGGCUUAACACAUGCAAGUCGAGCGCCCCGCAAGGGGAGCGGCAGACGGGUGAGUAACGCGUGGGAAUCUACCCAUCUCUACGGAAUAACGCAUGGAAACGUGUGCUAAUACCGUAUACGUCCUUCGGGAGAAAGAUUUAUCGGAGAUGGAUGAGCCCGCGUUGGAUUAGCUAGUUGGUGGGGUAAAGGCCUACCAAGGCGACGAUCCAUAGCUGGUCUGAGAGGAUGAUCAGCCACACUGGGACUGAGACACGGCCCAGACUCCUACGGGAGGCAGCAGUGGGAAAUAUUGGACAAUGGGCGCAAGCCUGAUCCAGCCAUGCCGCGUGAGUGAUGAAGGCCCUAGGGUUGUAAAGCUCCUUCACCGGUGAAGAUAAUGACGGUAACCGGAGAAGAAGCCCCGGCUAACUUCGUGCCAGCAGCCGCAGUAAGAC
rnacentral:rRNA from 1 species